AAGGCCUGGCGCUUCAUGAUGAGCCCGCGGCCUAUCAGCUAGUUGGUGAGGUAACGGCUCACCAAGGCUAAGACGGGUAACUGGUCUGAGAGGACGACCAGCCACACUGGAACUGAGACACGGUCCAGACACCUACGGGUGGCAGCAGUCGAGAAUUUUUCACAAUGGGGGAAACCCUGAUGGAGCAACGCCGCGUGGGGGAUGAAUGGCUUCGGCCCGUAAACCCCUGUCAUUCGGGAUCAAUGCCUGCUAUUUAAAAGAUGGCAGGUUGAUAGUACCGGAAGAGGAAGGGACGGCUAACUCUGUGCCAGCAGCCGCGGUAAUACAGAGGUCCCAAGCGUUGUUCGGAUUUACUGGGCGUAAAGGGUGCGUAGGUGGUUGGGUAAGUCUGAUGUGAAAUCUCGGAGCAUAACUCCGAAACGGCAUUGGAUACUAUUCAGCUUGAGAGUUGGAGGGGGGACUGGAAUUCUCGGUGUAGCAGUGAAAUGCGUAGAUAUCGAGAGGAACACCAGUGGCGAAGGCGAGUCCCUGGACAACUUCUGACACUGAGGCACGAAAGCCAGGGGAGCAAACGGGAUUAGAUACCCCGGUAGUCCUGGCCCUAAACGGUGCACGUUUGCUGUAAAAGGAAUCGACCCCUUUUGUGGCGUAGCCAACGCGUUAAACGUGCUGCCUGGGAAGUACGGUCGCAAGAUUAAA
rnacentral:rRNA from 1 species